GACGAACGCUGGCGGCGUGCUUAACACAUGCAAGUCGAACGGAAAGGCCCUGCUUUUGUGGGGUGCUCGAGUGGCGAACGGGUGAGUAACACGUGAGUCACCUGCCCUUGACUUUGGGAUAACUUCAGGAAACUGGGGCUAAUACAGGAUAGGAGCUCCUGCUGCAUGGUGGGGGUUGGAAAGUUUCGGCGGUUGGGGAUGGACUCGCGGCUUAUCAGCUUGUUGGUGGGGUAGUGGCUUACCAAGGCUUUGACGGGUAGCCGGCCUGAGAGGGUGAACGGCGUCAUUGGGACUGAGAUACGGCGCAGACGCCUACGGGAGGCAGCAGGGGGGAAUAUUGCACAGUGGGCGGAAGCCUGAUGCAGCAACGCCGCGUGCGGGAUGACGGCCUUCGGGUUGUAAACCGCUGUCGCCUGUGACGAAGCGUGAGUGACGGUAAUGGGUAAAGAAGCACCGGCUAACUACGUG
rnacentral:rRNA from 1 species